GACGAACGCUGGCGGCGUGCUUAACACAUGCAAGUCGAACGAAGAGCGACGGAAGCUUGCUUCUAUCAAUCUUAGUGGCGAACGGGUGAGUAACGCGUAAUCAACCUGCCCUUCAGAGGGGGACAACAGAUGGAAACGACUGCUAAUACCGCAUACGAUCUAACCUUGGCAUCGAGGAUGGAUGAAAGGUGGCCUCUAUUUAUAAGCUAUCACUGAAGGAGGGGAUUGCGUCUGAUUAGCUAGUUGGAGGGGUAACGGCCCACCAAGGCGAUGAUCAGUAGCCGGUCUGAGAGGAUGAACGGCCACAUUGGGACUGAGACACGGCCCAGACUCCUACGGGAGGCAGCAGUGGGGAAUCUUCCGUAAUGGACGAAAGUCUGACGGAGCAACGCCGCGUGAGUGAUGACGGCCUUCGGGUUGUAAAGCUCUGUUAAUCGGGACGAAAGGCCUUCUUGCGAACAGUUAGGAGGAUUGACGGUACCGGAAUAGAAAGCCACGGCUAA
rnacentral:rRNA from 1 species